GAUGAAGAACGCAGCGAAAUGCGAUACGUAAUGUGAAUUGCAGAAUUCAGUGAAUCAUCGAAUCUUUGAACGCAUAUUGCGCUCUCUGGUAUUCCGGAGAGCAUGCUUGUUUGAGUAUCAGUAAACACCUCAACUUCCAUAUCUUUUUUGAAAUGGGAGUUGGACUUGAGUGAUCCCAACGCUUUUCCUCACCGAAAAGUGGCGGGUUACUUGAAAUGCAGGUGCAGCUGGACUUUUCUCUGAGCUAUAAGCAUAUCUAUUUAGUCUGCCUAAAAAACAGAUUAUUACCUUUGCUGCAGCUAACAUAAAGGAGAUUAGUUCUUGUGCUGACUGAUGCAGGAUUCACAAAGACGGCUUCGGCCGACUUUGUAAACUCGAUCUAAAAUCAAGUAAGACUACCCGCUGAACUUAAGCAUAUCAAUAAGCGGAGGA
rnacentral:misc_RNA from 1 species